ACGGUAUCGGGCGAUGGAGUCCGCCUGCCCCAACCGCUGGUUACCCAGCUGAUGACUCCUUUUCGGAG
rnacentral:ncRNA from 2 species